CAGCACCUCAAGUGGUCAGGAUGAUUAUUGGGCCUAAAGCAUCCGUAGCCGGCGCUGUAAGUUUUCGGUUAAAUCUGUACGCUCAACGUACAGGCUGCCGGGAAUACUGCAGCGCUAGGGAGUGGGAGAGGUAGACGGUACUCGGUAGGAAGGGGUAAAAUCCUUUGAUCUAUUGAUGACCACCUGUGGCGAAGGCGGUCUACCAGAACACGUCCGACGGUGAGGGAUGAAAGCUGGGGGAGCGAACCGGAUUAGAGACCCGUGUAGUCC
rnacentral:rRNA from 1 species